ACAUUGGUGGUUCAGGAGUAGAGUUCUCUUCUUCCAUGAGGGAGACCUGGGUUCAAUUCCCGGCCAAUGCA
rnacentral:tRNA from 1 species